ensembl:lncRNA
CUUUGCUCCAAAAUAAGAAAGAACUGCUACUCACAGAGGGAAACUAGCAUGGAUUUUACUUUCUGGAACCAUGAUAUGCCUGAAGCAGCAACACAGUGGCAAUUCCAGAGGGGUAGGAGCUCUGCUACCAUGCAAUGACACUGUAAUUACAAAAUAAGGGAAAAUUAGAAGUAGUACAAGUGUGCAGAACUAGCUCUGGUUGUGAGUUGUCAAAGAAAGCAAUGUAGCUGAUCUCAAAGGAACAUGGAAAGGCAAUGACACAAAGACAACUUUGUAGCAGACUGCUGCACCUGUUGCUUGCUUGCCACCUUAGAAGUCAGAGACCUCACACUGGGACCAAUUAAAACAGAACAAGUUAAUAACUUACAGAUCUCAAGAGAACACAGCACCUUAGAAUGCUUGAUUUAAGUUGCAAAUGAGGCUUUUUGACAUCUCACAGCCAGGACAUGCACAGCCCCAUCGCAGAAUGCUACAGUCACUUACAGCAAGAUGGCUUCAAGGAGCUCAGGCUGACCAGAGGCAUUAGAAACAAAAUGGUGGUCACUGACUGAAGAAGGCAUCUGGAAAACGUGCCAGCGAGCUGCAGCUGAGGAGAAGGAGCAGAGCACAGCUGCCUCUGCCAGCGCCUGGGCGGCAGAAAGGGAGACAGAGCUUUUCCCGCCUUGCGGCUGCAGCCUCACGUGCGCCCCUCAGGAGGAGUCGGGCUUUCCCUCAGAGCGACUGAACACGUGCAGGGCCUGAGAAGGCGGGUGUGCCCUCACAACGCCCGGUUAGCUGAACUUCUGUCAGAAAGCCCCCUAGUGCACCACUUAGAGUUAUUCUUGGGAAGAAUGGGAAGCAGACAUUAACAUCUUGUACCUCUGAGGCAUUUAGGUGUGCUGAGCUUGAUAAAGAGGAGAUCCUGUUUGGCGGGUACUUUGCUGCUACAAUUUCUGAAAGCCAUGGGAAUGAGGGAGGGCAUUGGAAUUUUGUAUAUAAAGCAUCCAGGCUUGAAAGUGGCAAUAGCAGCAGCACUGCCCAUUUGCAGCAGAGGAGAGUACUGGAAACACCUCUGUGUUUAGGGCAUGCAUCAUGUUUCUGACAGCACUGUUGCUCAUCUUCUACAGUUGUCUGCAAUGUGCUGGUAAGUCUAAAAUGUCCACUUUCUUAUCUAUGUAUGAUUUGAAGGAAAACGUGUAUUGUGACAAAGUAGGAAACUCCACUGCAAAAUCACAACAAAUAAUAGUACAAUUCAAGUGUUACUCUCCUUUCUCCUGACCAUCAG